rnacentral:rRNA from 1 species
UACGUAGGGGGCAAGCGUUGUCCGGAAUCAUUGGGCGUAAAGAGCGUGUAGGCGGCUCGGUAAGUCCGCUCUGAAAGCCCGGGGCUCAACCCCGGGAGGCGGGCGGAUACUGUCGAGCUAGAGUCCGGAAGAGGCGAGUGGAAUUCCUGGUGUAGCGGUGAAAUGCGCAGAUAUCAGGAGGAACACCGGUGGCGAAGGCGGGUCUCUGGGCAGUAACUGACGCUGAGGAGCGAAAGCGUGGGGAGCGAACAGG